rnacentral:ncRNA from 1 species
CAAAAGCUUGGUCCUGGCUUUACUAUCAGCUAUCGCUCAACUUAUACAUGCAAGUAUCCGCACCCCCGUGAGAAUGCCCUCAAUCCCCCACCCGAGGACGAGGAGCUGGCAUCAGGCACACACAUCCUAGCCCAAGACGCCUUGCUACGCCACACCCCCAAGGGAACUCAGCAGUGAUAAACAUUAAGCCAUAAGUGAAAACUUGACUUAAUUAGAGCCUAUAUUAGGGGUUGGUAAAAUUCGUGCCAGCAACCGCGGUUAUACGAAGGACCCCAGUUGAUAGAUGCGGCGUAAAGAGUGGUUAGGGGUACAAAACUUAAUAAAGCCAAACUACCUCCAGGCCGUUAAUAAGCACUACGAGAUAAUGAAGCCCAAUAACGAAAGUAACUUUAUUUAUACCUGAACCCACGAAAGCUAAGAAACAAACUGGGAUUAGAUACCCCAUUAUGCUUAGCCUUAAACUCAGAUAUUUUAACUACAAGAAAUAUCCGCCAGGUUACUACGAGCGUAAGCUUAAAAACCAAAGGACUUGACGGUGUCUCAGACCCACCUAGAGGAGCCUGUCCUAGAACCGAUAAUCCACGUUUAACCUCACCACCCCUUGUUAACCCCGCCUAUAUACCGCCGUCGCAAGCUUACCUUUUAAGAGGUCAACAGUAAGCAUAAUGGGUUUAAACCCAAAACGUCAGGUCGAGGUGUAGCUUAUGAGGUGGGAAGAGAUGGGCUACAUUUUCUAAGUCAGAAAAUACGAAUUGAGUUAUGAAACUAACCCCUGAAGGUGGAUUUAGAAGUAAAAAUAAAACAGAGGGUUAUUUUGAACCAGGCUCUGAGAUGCGCACACACCGCCCGUCACUCUCCCCAACAAAUACUCGUGCAGUAAAUAACCAAAUAAAUUUCAUACACGGGGAGAUAAGUCGUAACACGGUAAGUAUACCGGAAGGUGUACUUGGAGAAUC